GGUGGCGUUAGGGCUUCUCGUUUUGCUUCUAAUUUUGGGGCUUCGGUUGCUGUUUGUGAGCUUCCUUUCUCUACUAUAUCUUCUGAUUCAACUGGAGGCGUCGGUGGAACGUGUGUGCUUCGGGGAUGUGUACCCAAGAAAUUGCUCGUAUAUGCAUCAAAAUAUUCUCAUGAGUUUGAGGAGAGUUGUGGUUUUGGAUGGAACUAUGAGGCAGAACCUAAACAUGAUUGGAGCACCCUCAUUGCUAAUAAAAAUGCCGAGUUGCAGCGCCUCACGGGUAUCUACAAGAAUAUUCUGAAGAAUGCGGAUGUCACUCUGAUAGAAGGGCGGGGAAAGGUGGUGGAUCCUCAUACAGUGGAUGUGGAUGGUAAACUCUACUCGGCUAAGAACAUACUAAUUUCAGUUGGGGGCCGCCCAUUUAUCCCAGACAUUCCUGGAAGCGAGUAUGCUAUAGAUUCUGAUGCUGCCCUUGAUUUGCCAACGAAGCCUGACAAAAUUGCCAUUGUUGGAGGCGGUUAUAUUGCACUUGAAUUUGCUGGAAUCUUCAAUGGAUUGAAAAGUGAGGUCCAUG
rnacentral:misc_RNA from 1 species